CUGGGGAUGAGAAGAUUUAGCCAUGGGUGCGGAACAUCCCACAUUCCUUUCGAUCGUAGUUUUAACUCUGAGAUAUCAAAAGCUCCUGGUCUCGGGAAAAUGUGGAGAAAUCUGAGUAGAGCACCCUGAUCCAUUUGACCUGGGAGAUUCUUGCUUUGGUUAUUAUCCCGAAUUGCCCAAGUCCUCCAAGAACACUGUGAAAGAGCUCAUGAGACUAGGAGAAGUGGUAAGUUGCGUCUGUAGUUACCCGCUACUAGAAAAUAAGAUGGGACAAAUGAAAAGCCACCACCUAUGCGGUCUUCUUAAUUAACCUUUUGACCCCGUCUUUUGUUCUACAAACUAUAGCAUCAAAAGGUUCUUGUUUUCCCAUACAAACCUGU